UGGAAUUGUCUAUCUUUUUUGUGUUUUGUCCUUUGUUCUUUCUUGCCAUUCCAAAGGAGGCCGCUACCUGGAUAGUACAUCAUCUGGUUCCUCGUCUCGCUCCCAGAGUCCUUUGUUGUUGAGCCCAGCAGGCUCACAGAACAUGUACAACAACAGUGGGCCCAUGCUUCGCUCUCUCAGUCAUCCAGGGGAAGGAGUGAUUCAGCUCAUUUCAGUGGCGCGGUCUAGCAGUUUGGGCAUCAUCCUGGGAGGAGGCUCCAACAGGCCAGACGGCCCCGCGGUCUUCAUCCAGGAGGUGCUAUCUGGAGGAGACUGUCAUCGGUGUGGGCAGGUGCCAAGUCCUGCUGGAAAAUGAAGUCAGC